rnacentral:rRNA from 1 species
UACGGGGGGGGCAAGCGUUGUUCGGAAUUACUGGGCGUAAAGGGCUCGUAGGUGGCCAACUAAGUCAGACGUGAAAUCCCUCGGCUUAACCGGGGAACUGCGUCUGAUACUGGAUGGCUUGAGAUUGGGAGAGGGAUGCGGAAUUCCAGGUGUAGCGGUGAAAUGCGUAGAUAUCUGGAGGAAUACCGGUGGCGAAGGCGGCAUCCUGGACCGGCAUUGACGCUGAGGAGCGAAAGCUAGGGGAGCAAACGGG